rnacentral:rRNA from 1 species
CGCGGCCUAUCAGCUUGUUGGUGGGGUAAUGGCCUACCAUGGCUUUGACGGGUAGCCGGCCUGAGAGGGUGACCGGCCACACUGGGACUGAGACACGGCCCAGACUCCUACGGGAGGCAGCAGUGGGGAAUAUUGGACAAUGGGCGGAAGCCUGAUCCAGCAACGCCGCGUGAGGGAUGACGGCCUUCGGGUUGUAAACCUCUUUCACUUCUGACGAAGUCUUGCUCUUGUGGGUGGGGUGACGGUAGGGAGAGAAGAAGCACCGGCCAACUACGUGCCAGCAGCCGCGGUAAUACGUAGGGUGCGAGCGUUGUCCGGAAUUAUUGGGCGUAAAGGGCUCGUAGGCGAUUUGUCGCGUCGGGAGUGAAAGCCCGUGGCUUAACUGUGGGUCGGCUUUCGAUACGGGCAGACUUGAGGCAUUCAGGGGAGAACGGAAUUUCUGGUGUAGCGGUGAAAUGCGCAGAUAUCAGGAGGAACACCGGUGGCGAAGGCGGUUCUCUGGGAGUGUUCUGACGCUGAGGAGCGAAAGUGUGGGGAGCGAACAGGAUUAGAUACCCUGGUAGUCCACACCGUAAACGUUGGGCGCUAGGUGUGGGGUCCAUUCCACGGGUUCCGUGCCGUAGCUAACGCAUUAAGCGCCCCGCCUGGGGAGUACGGA